CUGGAGCAUAGACCUCGAAAAGGUGCUUUAACAUUUCUGAUUUUUAAUGAUAUUUCUUCCUCUAUUGCUUUUGAAAUACCUUUGAAUUCAAACUAAUAAUUGGAAACGAUUGGUAGGAGUUCCCGUCGUGGCACAGUGGAAACGAAUCCGACGAGGAACCAUGAGGUUGUGGGUUCGAUCCCUGGCCUCGCUCAGUGGGGUAAGGAUCCAGCGCUGCCGUGAGCUGUGGUGUAGGUCCCACAUGUGGCUCGGAUCUGGCGUGGCUGUGGCUGUGGUGUAGGCCGGCAGCUGUAGCUCCGAUUGGACCCCUAGCCUGGGACCCUCCCUAUGCCUCGGAUGCUGGCCUAAAAAGACCAAAAAAAAAAAAGACAAAAACGAUUGGUAUUCAUGGCUUUAUGAUAUAUAUUCCUUUUAUAUUAAUCCCCGGGUUUGGACUAUAUCAUAAAAGUACAUUCUUCACUCAUAAAGAGCUCAACAUUUUUUGUACUUCUUGGUUAUAUUUUGAAAAUACCCACAUUGCAGCAACACCAGAUCCUUAAUCUACUGUGCCUGGCUGGGGUUCAAACUCAUACCGCCACAGAAACAAUGCUGGAUCAUUAACCCCCUGUGCCACAGCAGGAACUCCAGUAGCAUAUUUUUAAAACUAUCGAGACACUGCAGUCUGUGAGUAGGAAAUACUACCAGUGACAUAUGACAAGUCUAAAAGAUUUAUGUAGAAAUGUCCUCUGAAGAAAACAAAACAAAAUAGCUUUAUGCUCCUCAUUCUCCUUCUUUGUUUUAAACAUCACAAUCCAAAAUACUUUAAAGGUUUCUAACAAGGAGUCACCGAACUCUUCUAGCGACCAGUGAUCAAGUGUUGUAAUUCCAAACAAUUAUCUGAUCACCGUGCCUGCAGAUUAAAGUUUCAGUGGCAUCAGAGGCCUGAGACCCCAUUUCUAAUGAGCUCCCAGGCUCUGGUGCUGCUGGCUCUGGAGUACCUUUUGAGAAACCAGGGUGUAGGCCUCUGCGGCCGUGCCCAUGCUCUUUAAACUUGAAGAACCGCCAUCAGGCUUACUGGGAAAUGUUUCACCUGUUCAAGAUAACUGGAUUUUGUAAAAGACUCCUCAUUUAUGUGUAUGUUUUUUAAAAGGACGCGCAGUAACACCUAGCUUUAUUUUGCUUGUCCUUUAAUGGAAAAAAACGAAAAUCAUGGUAUUCUCCCACCACACACACACACACACACACACACACUCACACUCACACUGCUUUUCUUGCUUUAAAAACUCCUUUCCAAGGCUAUAAAGUGUAUGCAGUUAACUCCUGUAUUUCUAAAGAUAACCCUGGAAGCAGAAUACCAGGCACAGAUAAUCCAAAUUGCUGUUAAAACGUGAUACGCGGUGGGUUUAAUGUAAACUGGUAUUUAUGGUGAUCUGGGAACAGCGUGACCCUGCUCUGGGCUUUAUAGCAAAGCAUGAAAAAGAUCUGCAUGGCCACUUAUGAUCAUUACGUUAUGAUGAAAAAAGGCUAAAAUGUUUAGUGCUCUGCGACAGUUUUCGGUGUCUUAGCUCUCAGCCAAGAGCAGGAUAGGACACCCGUGGGUCUGAUGGGCUUCAUCUUUGCCCUCCUUCCUCUUCCCUUCGUAACUAACUCUUCUACGACUCUUUCCAGACGUGGAAUCCAGCCCCUUCCCUCUCCUGUGCUGCUGCCUGGGUCCCGUUUUGCAUGUCAUGACUGUGUGCUUCCAAAAAAUGCCUUUUGUUCGUAUUUUUUUGCCUAAACGCAUGAUUUUGUCUCUACUUGAAUUAAAUCAUCACUGAAUCCACGCAUUAGAAUUAUUGUGUAAUUUAUGCUUUUUACUAACCGUGACCAAAUAAUUUUUCUUUUUUCCCAUUAAGGAUAUUUGUUUUUUGUUGCAAUUUAGAAAUAAUUUACUGUUAUGCUGAUACGGAAACUUUGCAAUUUUUUUAGUUGUCUGCUUAAAGGAAUUUUUUUUUUUUUUUUUUUUUUUUGUCUUUUUGCCAUUUCUUGGGCCGCUCCCUAGGCAUAUGGAGGUUCCAAGGCUAGGGGUCGAAUCAGAGCUGUAGCUGCCACAGCAAUGCGGGAUCCGAGCCGCGUCUGUGACCUACACCACAGCUCAUGGCAAUGCCAGAUCCUUAACCCUCUGAGCAAGGGCAGGGAUCGAACCCGCAACCUCAUGGUUCCUAGUCGGCUUCGUUAACCACGGCGCCACGACAGGAACUCCUGCUUAAAGGAAUCUUACUGAAGCUUUUUGACUGUACUGUAGUUAAUCCAGUUCAGGUGGUAGGGAGUAGCAUGACUUGGGCCAAAACGGUGAAGGAGCAAAAUAACUUGAACAUUUUUUAAACCCUCUUCUCAAAUUCUUGGGCAUUCCACAGCGGUUUCAAAAACUUUAAAACAGCAGCUAAUACAUGACAAAGGUUUCGUCGUUAGUCGAGGGAACACAUUGCUGAAGUUUGGACGCAUCCCAGGAAAAUGAAAGGUCAUCCAUGAAGUUUUACGGAGAUCGUCCCUCGUGGGAAAACGCUUGUGCGGCGGGAAGAAACUCCUCCGCGUGCAAGAUGCACAGGACGCGGCAUCGGCAUGGAGCCGACACCUGCUCUGUGAUCGCCUCUCAGUUUAAGGUGCUGAAGACCAGGACCCUUCCCCUCAUACAGCGUCCUUCUCUGAACGCGAGUUUACAUUACUCGGUUCCGGCCACGCGCCCUCAACGGUAAACAGGUCGCAGGGAAAUGUGGCAUCUGUAUCUGCCGGAUAAGGCUUCCAACUCCAAGCACCCUCUUGCGCCGAAUGCCUGGUCCAGGUUCCUGUGGGGAACCGGGAGAGCCAGGAUGUAGGAACCUCGUGGUCAGCUCUCCCCAGUGAGACUCGGUAGCAUUCCCGCUGGUUUUUGUCCCCUUUGUUGCGCCACAGUUCCUUCCUUUUGGGGCCGCGUCGCUGGUAUUCAGCCCCUUCCUCUUCUUCCGCGCAGCACUCUCCUCCCGCUGGGGGCCACAGACAAGCACAUCUUAUUUCUCUCUGAGGAGAGAGGAGAGAAAAGUUUGCUUUUGUCAUGAAAGGUACCUGCUUUCUGUUUUGUUUUGUUUUUUUCCCCAUCUGAAAAAUGGUCCAUGACCAUGUAGCCGUCGGUAACCUCAGCUAAGCUGUGUGGACAGGCGGCAUCCAAGAAGACACUCGUCCGUCCCCUUUGCUGGGUCCUUGCGGUUCUGUCCUGCGGCCCCUGCUGUGACGGGAGGUGCCGAGGGCCCACCGGCUCCUGCUUUCACUUGGGCGCUGGCAGAGCGAUGUGCCCUCAUCCGCUUGCCAGACCAUCCCGCACCUCUGCCUUCUAGAAGCUGUGAAUUCCCAGCAAGGGCAAUAUUUUAGCCCAAGGGGAAAUAAUCCCGUGUCAACUGCAGAGAAGAAAAAACUGUUCUUGGACAGAAGCCAAAAGACAUUGUAUCAGAUUUUGUAAAGACGUUCAAUUUCAGCUGGUACAUAUCCUGUCAAGACCCGCGUUUCCCUCGACUGCGGUAUUUUCAGCAUGUAAAAGAGAAACCACCGCCACCACCACCAAAAAAUCCUCAGAUUUUGAGAAAUUGUGAAAGGCAUUGCCUUAAGCCACUUAACCCCUUCCACCUCUGUCUUUGGAUGAAAUGAAUCGGAAGUGCCUCCUUUUUGUGCCAGAAUGUGUGUCUGCAGAGCCGGGACGAGAGGGGAUGAUGCUCCCGUGACUUACGACGGGAGGCGCUACCCUAGGUUCUAGUCCUGAGUGAGUUUGCGAGCAGAUUCUACAAAGGCCAAUGACAGGAAGGGCAGUGUCCUGGUAAAAGCACAGUGGUGUUUGAUCCCAGGCGCCACAAGGGGAAGGCAAAACACACCAGCCAGGAAGGCGGUGUGGGCCUCCCCAGCCCUGUCUUUCUGCUGGGCUCUCUAAGGGUACCUUUGAGGCCAGAGCCAAGCAGGAAAGUAGUUUUCAGAUGGCCACGAGCUUCAGGGUGUCUGUAGACAUUUGAAGUUCAUCUCAUGACUGCUGCAGUUGUAAUAUAAUACAACCCUAGUUAGUAAUUCACUUUCACAUUUUAAUCAAAUUCAAAUCGCUUCAUUGUUAUAUCAAACGAAUGUUUCUUUAAGUUUAUAUUAAUGCUGAUUUAAUCUUUUUCAAAUAUUGGAUUCUAUUUAAAAUUCUGUUUCUUAAAAAAGGGAUUCUGCUACUAUGAGAAAAAAAACGUAUUGACCUCAACAAGUAGAAAAAUCUAGUGUCUUGGCGGAUUCAGUGCCAGGCCUCUUUAUUGACUCUCCACCCCAGUUCUUGGGGGCUGCUGAACUAUUACACGUGCAGGGCUGGGACAGUCAUGCUUCAUAGAGAUGCUACCCCCACCCAAGGGCAACAGGAACGUCUGAAAUGAACACAGGUGGCUCUUUCCCGAGGUGGGCGUCCGGAAGCAUUCGCUGGUGUGGGCGUACUGUAAAUAACUGACUGAUCCACGUUUGGUUGUAGUUUGCCUGUUAGCGUCCGUGUCCUAUGCUGGGAGUGGCAGUGUGUCUCCCCAUCCCACAGCCAGCAGCCCUGAGGGGCUUCUCAGGAUUUCAGAAAUGGCUCAUCUGUGUAAGGUGAGCUUGAGUGGAAGGUACCCACCAGAUUCAAAGACACCGUGCAAAGAAUUGGGGUCAAGUAAAACACCUUACAACUAAUUGUCCUGCUUCUUUUUUUAAUGCACCUUCUAGAAAAUUGAGAAUUACCUGCGUGUCUCAUGUCAUGUCUGUAUGUCUUUGGAGAAUGCUGGACUUGAAUAAUAGAUCUUAGAAAAGUGUUGUUACCAAAAAAGUAUGUUGUGGGUUUUCGUUCCUGAGGGGCCUCUCCAAUCAGGACACGUGGUUUCCCGACAGUGAGGGGAAAUGAGGCAUCGCUGAACUGAAACGCUGUUGGAACCUUUAGCUUUGUAAAGGUUUCAGCUCAGAGCCAGAUUUUAAUUGCAAUAUUAGGAAAUUUUGUGUUUCUCUCUAGUCUUUUCCAUUGGCCUAAAUUAAAAUAAGGGGAUAUUUACUAAGUAUAUGUGACUGCUCUGGUUCUUGUCUUGGAGGGAAUCGAAAAUGUGAUACAGGGGUCAAAAAAGUGAGACUAGUUGAGCAUUUGAAGUUACUUUAAAGGAAUCCUCUGUUUACUUGUACAGUGACUGACUAGUAUAAAUACCUUUUUGUUAAUUGUCCAUGUGCUAAGUGGGCUCCUGGCAUUUAAUCAGAAGCCCGUUUUGUCAGCUAUGUUCAUUUCUGAUGCUGUGUUCUUACCUUCCUUUGUAGGAAAAGAGAGAUUAGUGCUUCAUACAGCACCUACCAGGAUAAAGCAGCCGCUCCAGCAGAAUAGACGGACUAAAUGACUUCCACAAACCCUUGAAAAUUAAGGAAAUCUCAGCAUUUGAGAGAAAGACCUUGAGGAGCUAGGGCCUCCUUUUUUCAUAUGGAAAAGACAAGUUCUGUAUGACCUCACAUGUAGAAUCAAAAACAUUUUUCUAUGGCAAAGGAGAUUGGCUUGAAGGGGUGGGGGCGGGGGAGGGGGUGGUUGGGGAAGGAUUGAGUGAAGGCGGGCAGAAGGCAUAUACCUUUUAUACUUUUUCACCUGUAAGAUAAACAGGGACUGUACAGCUUAGUGACUCCAGUUUGCGAGUAAUACUGUAUAUUGGCCGGUUGCUAGGACAGCAGAUAUUUAAAUCUGUAAUCAGCUAGAAGAAAACCAGGUCUGUGUAGGUCUGUGCAGUGAUGGAUGGUAACUAAACUUUAAUUGUGAUCAUUUUACAAUAAGACAUUAUCAAAUCCUGCUGUACAGCUGAAGCUUACGCAAUGCUGUAUGUCAAACAUGUCUCAGUACUGAAAGAAAAAAAAUCGGUAACAAUUAUUUCCUGGCUUCUGACAGUAUCAGGAGUAGAACCGCUAAACCGUAAUGCUAACAUUUUACUGGGGCUGGAGUGUGGUCACCACCCUUUGUGCUUCUUUGAGACGUGUAUGAGUUUAGGUUUGAACCUCUUGUUUUCCGUCAAGUGACACUUGUAUUUGCAGGGCAAGCCAACACAGUAUCCCCGGGUGUUAGGGUGGGCAAAUAUUGCUUCUCUGCAAUCUUUGAACUCAGAGAAAUGGCAUUCAAGAUGAUGAUAUUUACAUUUCAUUUGUAAAGAAAGCGAUGUUGAAAAUUUUUCUGUUCAAAGGUUCACGCCAACCCUUUAGGUUCAUUCAUCUACAGUCCUAAAAAUGUCUUUUACGUAUGUGUGCACACUUUUUUUUACAAAUGUGUGUGUGCACUGCUUCAGCCCUUAGUAAAAGUAAGAAUACUGAACACUGAGAAUUUAAACACAUUUGUCUUCCUAAUAAUGAUUAUCGGAAAAUACUCUUAAAGUUAAUGGGGUAAAACUGUAUUUUAAAAAGUUAUUUGUAUCUUCUUGGCGACUGAGAGAAGCUAUAAAGUGUAUACAUGGCAGUCACCCUUUUCAAUAGCAGGAAGGCAGUCUCAAGUAAUCAAAAAGAACUCAGCAUCCGUUCCAGGCUUCUAGAAACAGUUGGAGGGCCCUAACACCCACAGCAAGAGUGCCGGCCGAGUCCAAAGCGGCCUCCAGUUCUCCUCAAGAGAAUCCCACUCUAGAGGAUGAGAAAUCCACUCUAAAUUCUGGCCAUCGGUGGCCUUCCCUCCCAACUUGAAUAGGCGUCUCGUAGGGAAAACGUGUCACCCACAGGUAGGCAGUUAAUGUAGAGAAAGUUCAUCAGAGCAGGUCACGUCGCCGCGUCCGUAAAGCACAGAGUGAAGAUGAAGCCACGUGUUUCAGAAGAGCAAACUUACCUCUGCGGCUCCCCUGCCGCCCAUGCAAAGGGAGGAAAAGCGCCAACAGCCCAGGUGGCCCUUGAUGUUCAGGUGACACAGAUCCCGGCCCUCUCCUCUGUCCUCACACCUGGCAGGGACUCUUUCCAAAGAGCCAGAGGCCGAAGAGGAUGGCCUGCCCUUCCAAUUCAGCUAAAACUCUUGCAUCUACGCUUUUAUACUUGGUAGCUCAGGUUGGGCCAGAGAAGCGUUGCCUCGAGAGAGGAAUGAGGAAUCAAGCGUGGAACCGGGGGAAAUGAUGUGACCCUCUAAGGACGUGUUUCUAAGACGCUGUAAGUGCUGCUUCUCUUUGCAAGGAUUCUGCAGUAACCAUCAAGUAGAAGUUUGGACCUGCUUUCACAUACUUUUCAAGGAGGUAGCACUUUCUUGGAAGCAAGGGAUGUCGCUGUCGUUCUUAUUUCUUCAAAACCCUUCAAGGAGUGUUUGCAACCAAAGACGUGCGCUUACCAAAACAGACUUUCGUAGUUUCCACUUCAGAUUCAGUCUUUCCACUUUAAUAUAUUUAUAUGUGAGACUGAAAUGGGUGUGUAAGUAUAUAUGUUCUGUUUGUCAAAGCAUUUGUCACUUACCGAAACAUAUGGGGAAACCCCUGCUCUCUAGAAAUGUGAGAGGGAAAAAAGUGUAUUUGAAUUUAAAGCGCUUGUAAACCUGCAGGAAUAUAUUCGUACUAGAUGGAUACGUGCUG
rnacentral:lncRNA from 1 species